AUGAACGCUGGCGGCGUGCCUAAUACAUGCAAGUCGAGCGAACGGACGAGAAGCUUGCUUCUCUGAUGUUAGCGGCGGACGGGUGAGUAACACGUGGAUAACCUACCUAUAAGACUGGGAUAACUUCGGGAAACCGUAGCUAAUACCGGAUAAUAUUUUGAACCGCAUGGUUCAAAAGUGAAAGACGGUCUUGCUGCCACUUAUAGAUGGAUCCGCGCUGCAUUAGCUAGUUGGUAAGGUAACGGCUUACCAAGGCAACGAUGCAUAGCCGACCUGAGAGGGUGAUCGGCCACACUGGAACUGAGACACGGUCCAGACUCCUACGGGAGGCAGCAGUAGGGAAUCUUCCGCAAUGGGCGAAAGCCUGACGGAGCAACGCCGCGUGAGUGAUGAAGGUCUUCGGAUCGUAAAACUCUGUUAUUAGGGAAGAACAUAUGUGUAAGUAACUGUGCACAUCUUGACGGUACCUAAUCAGAAAGCCACGGCUAACUACGUG
rnacentral:rRNA from 1 species